rnacentral:rRNA from 1 species
UACAGAGGGGGCAAGCGUUGUUCGGAAUUACUGGGCGUAAAGGGCGCGUAGGCGGCCUGUUAAGUCGAACGUGAAAUCCCCGGGCUCAACCCGGGAACUGCGUCCGAUACUGGCAGGCUUGAAUUCGGGAGAGGGAUGUGGAAUUCCAGGUGUAGCGGUGAAAUGCGUAGAUAUCGGAAGGAACAUCAGUGGCGAAAGCGACUUCCUGGACCAAUACUGACGCUCAUGUGCGAAAGCGUGGGGAGCAAACAGG